rnacentral:lncRNA from 1 species
AAUUAAUUUAAUGUGCCUUAUUUUAUUGUAGAAAUAAGAUUGGACAUUCUUCACCUGGCACAAAAAGAGUGGCAAGAUUCCUUGUUCUUUCUGAUCUCUGCUUGUGUAAAAAUAGGAAUUUGAAAUCAAGCCAUGCACUCUGUUGUUGGUUGCUUAAGGUCACCACAUUUAUGCUUUUAAAAGAAAACUUUUAAAAGAGUAAUUUAUAAUUAUGGACAGCUAUAUUCUUAUUUAAUUACAUCCCAGUUUAGUCUUUGCAACUCUAACAACUGAGAAUUUCACUGUAUUUAAAAUGUGUACAUUGGGGUGCUCCUGAAUAAUUCCUUGCUAUUAGACCGAGCCAGAUUGGAAUUUCAUGUACUUGAAUAGAUUAACUGGUUUGCUUGUGUUAAUAGGUACCCUGCUAUCCUGGACUGCUUUGUGAGUGGGUAGAGACGGGUGCCUUUGGAAAUGCCAAUUGAUUGGUAACCAUAACAAGUCAGAUUUAUGUGUGAGUGGAGAAGGUAGCAGUAUCUAUGUAAAGUGAAAUGGAUCUACUGACAUGCCUAAACAGACCAUAGAACUAGAAAGGAUGCUGGUUUUGAGGCCAUUCACAAGGUUUCUGGCAGGGUUGUGGGGAACAGAUGCAGGAAUGCUUGAGAUGGUUGGCUACAUCUACAAGUAAAUCACCUCUUCAGGAAUGCUGUCUUGGGAAUCCACAUAUUGCAAGGAGAUCACUUUUUUUAUGAGUACUGAAUUGUCUGUAAUCCUUUUGCUUUCUACAGGAAAGAAAGUUGCAUGGGAAGUCUAGAAAAGGGGAGUUUUGAUUGAAAGUCUCAAUAUAAUAUCAUCCUUCUGUGUUAUUACACAUACUAUGUCUCAUUGGAUAAAACCCAAUGGCGAUUUUUUUGUCUUUGCACUUGGAGAGAAAGCACAUACUGGUAUCUUGUGUUAUUUAAGCACCAACAUAUUUAAAGUUUGGAUCUAUCCAAAAAGAGAAGGGAAAAUAGUAUCAGAGUGUGAUUUACAUUACACUGGAUUUUACUGCACUUUGGCAUUGCAAAGAAAUCUUUGA